GAUGAAGAACGUAGCGAAAUGCGAUAAGUAGUGUGAAUUGCAGAAUUCAGUGAAUCAUCGAAUCUUUUAACGCACAUUGCGCCCCUUGGUAUUCCAUGGGGCAUGCCUGUUCGAGCGUCAUUUGUACCUUCAAGCUUUGCUUGGUGUUGGGUGUUUGUCCCGAGGGACUCGCCUUAAAGUAAUUGGCAGCCAGUGUUUGGUUUUGAAGCGCAGCACAAGUCGCGAUUCAAGGCUACACGCCCGCUUCCACAAGCCUUUUUUCACUUUUGACCUCGGAUCAGGUAGGGAUACCCGCUGAACUUAAGCAUAUCAAUAAGCGGAGGA
rnacentral:misc_RNA from 1 species